rnacentral:rRNA from 1 species
AUUGAACGCUGGCGGCAGGCCUAACACAUGCAAGUCGAACGAGUGGCGGACGGGUGAGUAAUGUCUGGGAAACUGCCCGAUGGAGGGGGAUAACUACUGGAAACGGUAGCUAAUACCGCAUACCAUCGGAUGUGCCCAGAUGGGAUUAGCUAGUAGGUGGGGUAACGGCUCACCUAGGCGACGAUCCCUAGCUGGUCUGAGAGGAUGACCAGACAGACUGGAACGGAGACACGGUCCAGACUCCUCCGGAACGCAGCAGUGGGGAAUAUUGAACAAUGGGCGCAAUCCUGAUGCAGCCAUGCGGCGUGUAUGAAGAAGGCCUUCGGAUUGUAAAGUACUUUCAGCGAUGAGGCGUUACUCGCAGAAGAAGCACCGGCUAACUCCGUGCCAGCGGCCACGGAAAUUC